rnacentral:lncRNA from 1 species
AGGCACUAUGCUAUGCAAUUGUGAGCCAGAGAUGGAGACAUAGCCCCUGACAAGGCUGUUGUGUGUGGUUGCCCAGCUUGAGCACUGCACAAAAUUGCCUCAUCCAUUGCAGAGGGCAAAGGAGGAUGAGGCUUGAAAUUUAGCCCAAGUUCUGCUCAUAAACCUUGGCCCUGACCCUGGCUACAUUGCACAAAUUCUACAAGCCAAGAUGUGUCUAUGAAGCUGACGCUAACCAGAGGCGGAAGAGCAUUACAAAUUGAGUGAAGCUCCUAGUUGGGUUAACGGCAGCCCUGGCCCCAGGAUCUCAAAAGCAGCCUGAAAAGCAGAUGAUGACAAUGGAACAUGGAUAUGCAGCCCCUGGGGCGAACCUGAGUGUUUGAAAUGCAUGGCAACAAUGUUUAAUUCAUGGCAACAAUGAAUCAGUGCUCUAAGGAAGAAAGAAGUGAAUGGCAAGAUUGCACUUGCCCUCACAGGACUGCCAGCCAGAAACUACAUUUCCCAGCAUCCCUUGCAGCUUGGUAUGGCCAUGUGACCACAUUCUCAUUAAUACAGGGUGAGUGUGCCACAUCCAACUCUUUUGUUCAAAAGAAAUUGCUUUUCCACUUUCUGGAAGCUUUUGAUGUAGUUUUGAGCAUACAGAAGAGGGCUGGUUUAUUCUAAGUAUUGGGAACCCCUUCCUAAGGUCAAACUCUGAGGUUUAGGAUGUCAAAGCAUAGGCUUAUCAAAAAAGCUUCUGAUCACACACACACACACACACCGUUAAUGCAACAUUGACUUCCUCUAACAAGGCAAGUAGGGAGAGAGACGAUAGCGGGAGAGAUCUGGCUGGUCAGUCUUUCUCUGCCUCCUUUGCUGCUGACCCCAGGCAGUGUGUCUAUGACCUCAGCUAGCAAGAUUAUUUUCUCUUGUCCAUAGAAGGAGGUUGGACUCUCCCCCAUACUGCAUGUCAAAAACUGUAAAAGCCAG